GUUUCUAGCACAUUCCGUCCCAGGGGAUGUGGACCUGCUGUCCCAGGGCUCCUUCUCGGUGCUCACGAUUACGGAGAGGGCAGGAAGGAAAGGAAAGCAGACAUGCGACAGCCGAGUGGAGUUGCCAGACUGGGGAUGUAUGGCCCUCCUGGACCAGCAUGAGGGACCUCUGCAAAACCCAACUCGGGUCUGAUCCCCAGACCCGUGUGUGAAGAGAACGCUCCGUUUAAGUGAUGCUGCGAUGGUGCCGAAAAGUAGUCUAUGACCUGGUCCGCGUGCUUAAUAACGUCUGUCCUGUUGGUGGCCCGAGAGCUCUGUUCUAGGAGAAGAAACGACGAAAAAUGGGCUACAAAGUGCUUCAGUCAUUCGACAAGAACGUGCUCUGUCUUACGUCUGUGUCUCCCAAACAGGACUUUUCCUGGUAUAAUAGUGUCUUCCCUUUAAUAAAUAGAUUUAAUCCAGUUAUAUUUGGGAGGAUUAUGAAUAUUGUGACAUAGGUUUCCACAAUCUUCGCCAGGCAGCACUGGAGAAUACGACUCCCAAGAUGACAUACCUUUGCCAGUAAUCAAAGCCAGUGACUUGACGACUCAGGUGAUUCAUCUUAACCAAAAGAAAGAUUUGUGCCGUUCUGGACAACAAAAAGUUUGCAAAACUAUGAUUGAUUGCUUCAUUUCAUCAGCCUCCUCUUUGCUGGUCAUGAUGUCAGUCUUCCUUGGCAUCAAUUUCAGGUAAUCACUGAGCUUUCUGAAGCUUUUUGUUUGCAUAUUUGUUUUCGGGCAGAUAGAGUGUGACUU